GGGUAUUUAGCUCAGCGGCAUAAGCGCCUGCCUUGCAAGCAGGCAGUCGUGAGUUCGAUCCCCGGUACCCA
rnacentral:tRNA from 1 species